UUGGGAUAUAGUAGAUAAACCUCUGACAUUCAUGAACCAUAUUUGUUUCAUUGAACUCAUAAAUGAGCAAUCAAAAGAACCAUCUUCAUACGUGUCUAUCAUUCCUUACAUAGACAAUAAAACCAAAAAAACAUACAUUGUACUUACAAAACAUAUGAGAUCUGACAAAAAACCCUUCUAUAUUUUGAUUCUUUAUAGGAAAGAAACACGAAUAGCUGGAUAUAUAUAUAUAUAUAUAUAUAUACUCAUGUGAAAAUAAUAUACUAUUGUGAAAAAAUGAGAACAAUUAAUAUAAACAAUUAGAUAUUAUUUAAAUGACCUAAAUUUAUCGUUCUUAUAGUUUUUAUAUGAAAACUAUUUUCAUUGGAGUCAUGCCUUAUAUAUAUAUCAAAUUACUAAUUAUUUUUCUCUGUAAAAGACUAUAAUUUUGCAUCUUUAAAAAUACAAACAGUAGAUUCUGUUGUAAUCAGAGUUUGCUUUGUAAGUAUAAGAUUUUGAAGCUGCUGUCUCAAUCCAAAAUUCAUUCUCUGUCUAUCUCCUUUGUUCUUUGUUACUUGUUAUUGUUGAUGCGGAAGACAUAUGUAGAAAAUAUAAUAGAGAAAAUGACACCGAGAAAUUAACUUGGUUCAGCAAUUUGCCUACGUCCACGGUUGAAGAGCAACAAUGAUAUUAUCACUAUGAUAAAAGAGAAUUACAAGUUCACUCAAGUGUUUCACUCACUUCCCAAAACCCAAGUACACCCAAUAUCACUCUCACUCACUU
rnacentral:lncRNA from 1 species